CAGGCUUAACACAUGCAAGUCGAGGGUCAUCAGGAAGAAAGCUUGCUUUCUUUGCUGGCGACCGGCGCACGGGUGAGUAACACGUAUCCAACCUGCCCUUUACUCGGGGAUAGCCUUUCGAAAGAAAGAUUAAUACCCGAUGGCAUAAUGAUUCCGCAUGGUUUCAUUAUUAAAGGAUUCCGGUAAAGGAUGGGGAUGCGUUCCAUUAGGUUGUUGGUGAGGUAACGGCUCACCAAGCCUUCGAUGGAUAGGGGUUCUGAGAGGAAGGUCCCCCACAUUGGAACUGAGACACGGUCCAAACUCCUACGGGAGGCAGCAGUGAGGAAUAUUGGUCAAUGGGCGCUAGCCUGAACCAGCCAAGUAGCGUGAAGGAUGAAGGCUCUAUGGGUCGUAAACUUCUUUUAUAUAAGAAUAAAGUGCAGUAUGUAUACUGUUUUGUAUGUAUUAUAUGAAUAAGGAUCGGCUAACUCCGUGCCAGCAGCCGCGGUAAUACGGAGGAUCCGAGCGUUAUCCGGAUUUAUUGGGUUUAAAGGGAGCGUAGGUGGACUGGUAAGUCAGUUGUGAAAGUUUGCGGCUCAACCGUAAAAUUGCAGUUGAUACUGUCAGUCUUGAGUACAGUAGAGGUGGGCGGAAUUCGUGGUGUAGCGGUGAAAUGCUUAGAUAUCACGAAGAACUCCGAUUGCGAAGGCAGCUCACUGGACUGCAACUGACACUGAUGCUCGAAAGUGUGGGUAUCAAACAGGAUUAGAUACCCUGGUAGUCCACACAGUAAACGAUGAAUACUCGCUGUUUGCGAUAUACAGUAAGCGGCCAAGCGAAAGCAUUAAGUAUUCCACCUGGGGAGUACGCCGGCAACGGUGAAACUCAAAGGAAUUGACGGGGGCCCGCACAAGCGGAGGAACAUGUGGUUUAAUUCGAUGAUACGCGAGGAACCUUACCCGGGCUUAAAUUGCAGUGGAAUGAUGUGGAAACAUGUCAGUGAGCAAUCACCGCUGUGAAGGUGCUGCAUGGUUGUCGUCAGCUCGUGCCGUGAGGUGUCGGCUUAAGUGCCAUAACGAGCGCAACCCUUAUCUUUAGUUACUAACAGGUCAUGCUGAGGACUCUAGAGAGACUGCCGUCGUAAGAUGUGAGGAAGGUGGGGAUGACGUCAAAUCAGCACGGCCCUUACGUCCGGGGCUACACACGUGUUACAAUGGGGGGUACAGAAGGCAGCUAGCGGGUGACCGUAUGCUAAUCCCAAAAUCCUCUCUCAGUUCGGAUCGAAGUCUGCAACCCGACUUCGUGAAGCUGGAUUCGCUAGUAAUCGCGCAUCAGCCACGGCGCGGUGAAUACGUUCCCGGGCCUUGUACACACCGCCCGUCAAGCCAUGGGAGCCGGGGGUACCUGAAGUACGUAACCGCAAGGAUCGUCCUAGGGUAAAACUGGUAA
rnacentral:rRNA from 1 species